rnacentral:snoRNA from 1 species
CCUCUCUCAGGGUCACACCUGGAGAGUUUCCAGUAUUCUACCAGUCUCGACUAUGGGAGGGGGAGUCAAGCAGAGGCCUGUCCAUUCCAUUCCUAGCUUGGGCAGUGACUAGCAAGUGGAAGACAAUCUGCUAUAAUU